UUCGCAGGUGGCCUGUUAAGUCAGAUGUGAAAGGCAGUGGCUCAACCAUUGCAAGCAUUUGAAACUGGCAGGCUUGAGUACAGGAGAGGAAAGCGGAAUUCCUAGUGUAGCGGUGAAAUGCGUAGAUAUUAGGAGGAACACCAGUGGCGAAGGCGGCUUUCUGGACUGUAACUGACACUGAGGAACGAAAGCGUGGGGAGCAAACA
rnacentral:rRNA from 1 species